GUGCUCUCUUUGGUGGCACAUGUACUAAAACUGGAACCAUACAGAGAAGAUUAGCAUGGCUCCUGCCCAAGGAUGACAGGCAAAUUCAUGAAGCGUUCUAUAUUUUU